GGGGGUCCCGGGGCUCCCUCGGCGCCCCCAAAUUGCCGCCCCGCCCCCUCCCCUCCCUGCGGCCUCAGCCCCGCUCCGCCGCCGCUGGGCCCCAUCGUGACCACAAUGCCCACAAUGCAUCGCGUUUGUGCCAGCGGUAGACACCAGCGGAACUUCCGCCAAUACUUCUGCAAGGCGCGGGUUCUGAUUGGUUGCGCCGCAUUUGGCGCUUCUCGCCAGAGAUCUCGCGAGAGAAGCAGCGCGGCCAUGUUUGUUGAGGGCAACUCUGUGGGCUCCUCAGAGCGCUCCGUGUUCCCUUAUAAAUGCAGCCGGGAACAACGGAAUCCACCUGGAAAUGGCGUGAUAGAGCCUAAAUCCCCUCGGGCUGAGCCUAAAUCCCCUGGGAUUCAACCAAAAUGUUCAAAUCCUGGAGCUUUCCAUGGAUAGGGGCGGUACUCCUACGGCGGGAGGUGCGGUGACGUCACCUCGCCCAGCCCUUUCCGGCCCCUCCUGAGGCGGCUCCGCCUUUUCUCGGCGCCAUUCCCGGGGCCGCUUCUGGGCCUCUGGGCCGGGACCGGCGCUUGGCCCGGGGCUCCUUCGCCGCCCGAGCGUCCUGAAAGUGUCCCCAAGGUGUUCCAAGUGAGCAUGGAGCCCAAAGAGCUGUCCCCUGCCCUGCUGCAGUCACAGAUCACCGUGGUGGCCAUCCUGGGCGAGCUGCUGGCCACUGUGCCCAGGCUGGACGAGAUGAUGUUCCUACUCAUGUCCCCAUUGCGCCUGUACUGGAACCUGGAGAUCUUCAUCAAGGAGCUCCGCAAAACUCUGUACCGCACUGAUGACACCUGGAGGCGCCAUAUUGUGAUCUCUGAUUAUGAGGACCCUCUCACCUCCCUGAGCCAGGCUCUGGCCGCCUACAAGAGCACCCCACGGACCACCUGGGAUAGUGUGACAAUGGCAGCCAGCAAGUGGCAGGGGUCAGCGGAUGCCCUUGAGGACAGGUGGGCUGAGCUGGCCAGGAAGGCCACCGAGCUCUGCAACACCUGCAGGAAGGUGGCCACCAAGGCGGCCGACAGGGCAACCACCGCCACUGCCCGGGCAAGGAAGCUGAGGGAAAAGGCUGCCCGUUAUGGGACAGCUCAGGAAAACAGGAGGAAACUGGGUCAGGCCCUGGGCUGGGAGGAGAGGACCGAGGUGAGGAGACUGGCCCAGGUGGCUGCCAGCAAGGCAAGAAGAGCCACCAUGGUGAGACAGCGGGUGGAGGCAGUCCUGGGGCUGCUGGAGCGCUUGGUGACUGCAUGUGACGAAGCCACCGCGUUCCACCGGGAGCUGCAGCGCAGGGUUGGGAACAUUGAGGCCACCCUGAAGGUGACAAAUGAGGCAUCCCCUGAUGUCCCCAAGGACUUGGUGGCGAAGGUGGCCGUGGCUGAACGGCUGUGGGUGGCCAGCGCCCGCCUGGCCAAGGAUCACUUGCUGGGGACAGUUGACAACAUCAUCAAGUUCUAUUUCGAUGGUGGUCCCUACAGAGGCAGUGCUUGUGUGGUGGCCGAGCGGUGCCUGAGAGCCACCGAGGACAUCCCAAGGCUCCUUCGACCACUGGAGCAUCACCAGAGGGUCCCUAAGGUGUCCCCAGUGAGCAUGGAGCCCAAAGAGCUGUCCCCGGCCCUGCUGCAGCCACAGGUCACCGUGGUGGCCACCCUGGGCGAGCUGCUGGCCACCCUGCCCAGGCUGGAUGAGAUGCUGGGGCUGGUCGUGUGCCCAGAGCGCCUGUACUUGGACCUGGAGGAAUUCACCAAGGGGCUCCAGGCCACCCUGUGCACUGAUGACACCUGGAGGUGCCACAAUGUCAACUGCAAUAAUGAUGACCCUCCCGCCUCCAGUGAUGAUGAUCCUGCCGACUCUGAUAAGGAUAGUAAUCCUCUCACCUCUCUGAGCUGGGCCCUGGCUGCUUACAAGUGCAACCCACAGACCACUUGGGACCAUGUGACAAUGGUGGCCAGCAAGUGGCACCAGUCAGUGUCCGUGCUUGUGGACAACUGGGCCCAGCUGGCCAGGACAGCCAGCAAGCUUCGCAAAGCCUGCAGGGAGAUGGCUGUUGUGGCGGCCAACAGUGUGAUCGCUGACACCAUCCUGGAGGACGAGGCUGCCCUUGACGGGAUAGCUCAGGAAAACAUGGUGGAGCUGGGUCUGGCCCUGAGUAGGCAGAGGGUGGUGGCCGGGCAUGGAGCCUGGAUGAGGUUAGACGCCAGGGUGGCUGCCAGCGAGGCAACAAGGGUGAGAAGGGUGAGGGCGGCCCUGGGGCUGCUGGAGCGCUUGGUGGCUGCGUGUGAUGGAGCCGCCGCAUUCCCCUGGGAGCUGUACUGCAGGCUUGAGGACAUCGAGGCCACCCUGAAGGGGACAAAUGAGGCAUCCCCUGAUGUCCCCGAGGAUUUGGUGGCCAAGGUGGCCAUGGCCGAGCGGCUGUGGGAGGCCAACGCCCGCCUGGUCAAGGAUCACUUGGUGCAGACACUUGAUGACAUCAUCAAGUUCUAUUUCACUGGUGGUCCCAACAGCCCCAGUGCCUGUGUGGUGGCUGAGCGGUGCCUGAGAGCCACCGAGGACAUACCAAGGCUCCUUCGACCUCCAGAGUGUCCCCAAGGUGUCCCUAAGUUGUCCCCAGUGAGCAUGGAGCUCCAAAAGGUGUCUCCUCCGCAACUGCAGGCGCUCGUGGACGUGGUGGCCACCCUGGGUAAGGUGGUGGCCACUGUGCCCGGGCCACACAGGGCCAAGUGCCUGUGCAAGUCCCCAGACUCCCUGUACGAGGACCUGAGGAGAUUCACCCGGAGCCUCCGUGCGAUCCUGAACCACAGUGAUGUCACCUCCCUGGGCCACCGUGGUGUCCCCUCCCUGGGUCAGGCCCUGGCCACCCUCGGGGUCACCCCAGGCACCACCUGGGCCAAUGUGAGAGCCACGGCCAGCGCCUGGCGGAAGUUGGUGGCCAAGCUUGUGGACAGCUGUGACUGGCUGGCCCGGGAGGCCACCAAGCUCCGUGAGAAGGUGGUCACAGAGCAGCCGCUGAUGGUGGCCCUGGACAUGGAGGAGAUGGCCCCGCACGAUGCCCAGGUGGCGGCAGCCACAAGUGAGGCCAUGGGAGAGGCUGUGGCGGCCACCAGGAGGGGAUGUUGGGCAGUGGUGGUCCUGGGGCCACUGCAGCGCUUGGUGGCCACGUGUGACAGAGCCACCUUGUUUAACUGGAACAUGGAGUGGCGGCUCAGGGACAUUGAGGCCAUUCUGAAGGGGAUAAAUGAGGUGUCCCCUGAUGUCCUCCAGGCUUUGGUGGCCAAAGUGGCUCAGUUUGAGUGGCUGUGGGAGGCCAGCACCCGCCUGGCCAAGGAUCACCUGCUGGAGGCACUUGGAAUCAUUGACAACAUCCUCUUGAGUCCCUGCGGUGACCAUGGUGGCUCUGGUGGCCCCGGCAGCCGUGCGGUGGCCGAGCGGUGCCAAAAAGCCAUUGAGGACAUCCCAAGGCUGCUCUUGUGGUGGUGUCUGCAGGUCCCAGGACAAGGGAAGAUAUGAGAAUCUGACUCCAUGUUUCAGAAGACUGGUUAAUUAUUUUAUAUUAUAUUACAUUAAAACUGCUCUACUAAAACUACAUGAAAAGAAAUAGAGAAAGAAUACAUGAGAAAAGUAGAAAAGAGUGAAUAGUAAAAACCCAUGACAGACCAGAGAGUCCGACACAGCUGGCUGUGAUUUGCCAUCAAUUAAAAACAAUUCAUGUGUUUGGAUAAACAGUUCUCCAAAUCACAUUCCAAACAGUUCUCCAAAUCACAUUCCACAUGGAGAAGAUGAAGCUUCCCAGGAGAAAAAAUCCUGGCGAAGGCAUUUUUCAUAAAAUAUCACAGUGACAUGCUAUGGGGACAGUGAUGUCACCACUGUGAUGCCAUCAGGGCAGUGAUGUCACUGGAGAGACUUGUGGACACUUGGGUGCCACUGGCUCCCCGAGUGCCACCAGCUCCUUGUGUCACCAAGAGCCCCCUGAGAGCCACCAGCUCCCUGAGUGCUACCAACUCCUCGUGUCUCCAAGAGCCUCUCAAGUGCCACCAGCUCCUUGAGUGUCGUGGGAAGGGGACCAGGACACCAGAUGGUUCAACACAGGUCCAGUCCAGUUUAUUGAAGAAAGUAUCAAACACUUAUACAGCAAAUAAUAAGCUUAUGAAUAUUCUGUAAGCCAAGCAAUCUAUUGGUUAAACUAUAGCAUGAACUCUUCCUCAUUCCUUAGGGGUUACAUCUCUCUUUUCUCAUGUGUCUUUCACUGUUUGUUACUAUACUACAGCUAGGCUCAAGCACACACUAUCUAUGCAGGUGCAGGACUUGAAAUUAGCCACGGUUUUGUACUUUUCCAGUCUCUCUAGUCAGCUAAAUUCCCAACGCUUCCCCUGUUUUUAUUUUUUUGGGAAAACAAAAUUCUAUGGGCUAACUCUGUCACACUCUUUGCAACACAAAAAUAGACAAUUCUAACAACUAAACAAUAUUCUCAGCUAGCAAGGUUUCUCUCUUACAAGGGAUCUAAGCCAAGGAAACAAACCAAAAAGGCUAUCACUAAUUAUAGGAUAUGCUAUACAACAAAUACAAAAAGAAUUCUAUGUGCUACAAGGCUCAAACAAAACUCAGGUGUGCUAAUACAACCUACAAAAAUAAGCUAAAGAAAGUUUGCUUUCUAUUCUCAAACAACAAAUAUACUUCAAACAAAAACGGCUUUACUCACAAAUGCUUCUAAUUGUCUCUUUUAACUAGAGUUUCUCUAAUGUUCACAACAACACUUUGCACUCAAGUCAUAAAAUAAAUGCUUAUCAUAAAAGCUAAAAUCUAUCUAA
ensembl:lncRNA